GGCGCUGUGGCGUAGUGGGUAAAGCUGCUGCCUGCAGUGCAGCAUCCCAAAUGGGCACUGGUUCGAGUCCCGGCUGCUCCA
rnacentral:tRNA from 1 species